CUUUUCUUAAUCUUUUCUUUUUAUUGGCCAGUCUGAGAUAUGGCUUUUUCUUUGCAGCUCUGCCUAGAAGGCCAGCAUCCCAGAGUCGCCUCCUCACUGUUGACGUUGAGACUGGUGUUUUGCGAGUACUAUUUAAUUAAGCUGCCAGUUGAGGACUUAUUAAAAAUCAGCCGGUUCCAGCUACAAUAGACAUUUACAACAUUAACAAUGUCUACACUGUAUUUCUGAUCAAUUUGAUGUUAUUUUAAUGGACAAAAAUGUGCUUUUCUUUCAAAAACAGGGACAUUUCUAAGUGACCCCAGACUUUUGAACGGUAGUGUGUGUGUGUGUAUGUAUGUAUGUAUGUAUGUAUGUAUGUAUGUAUGUAUGUAUGUAUGUAUGUAUGUAUGUAUGUAUGUAUGUAUGUAUGUAUGUAUGUAUGUAUGUAUGUAUGUAUGUAUGUAUGUAUGUAUGUAUGUAUGUAUGUGUGUGUGUGUGUAUAUCUAUCCAUCUAUGUUCUUUAUCAGUUUAAAGGAGGAAAUGUUGCUUACUUGUUGAGCAAAAUCAAAGCUGUAAUGCAUGCUGAUGUCUUUGCUUUCUGGUUGAGUAGGGGCCCCCAGAGACAACUGCAGGUCUGCAGGUGGUCUUGCAACAAUUACUCUGAACAAGGAUGAGAUGCUCCUCUUGCUUCUUCAGCUUGGCUGACUUAACUGCUUCUGGCAGAUUGGCAGAUCUGAAGACCUGAUAAUUGUUCCACUGGCACUGCCAGCACAGGUCUGUCCUGUACUGAUUCUGAAAGACAAAUUCCAGGUACAAAUAUUUUAGCAUUAUUAUACAAUAGAUACAAAAUGGCAUUCUGAGAUAACAUCACUCCACAUAAUGUUAGCUAGCAAGCCAGCCAUCUAUCCUCAGCUAAUGUUAGCUAGCUAACAGCAAGCUUUAACUUGGGGUCUUUUGUUUAGACAUGUAACAUUAACUAGCUAGCUAAACAAUGAACUAUAAUCCCAAUAAAUAGAGCAAUACAAACCGAUUGUCAUAGCUAGCUAAAGUUAACCAAAUAGAUUCAAUGUUAUCUAGCAAGCCAGCCAUCAAACUUCAGCUAGCUAGCUAACUAACAACAACUUUAUGACAAAAUUAGAAAUGUAUAAUGUCUGAAACUGUAGCUAGACUCUUACCCGCAUAACAUGGAUGAAAGCUUCAUGGCAGACUGCAACCCAUGUCAUUAAAUAAGCCGUCCUGUGUCAUUUCCAUUUAGCUUGUACAGACAUUCCACUGAUUUCAAAACUCGGUCAAGUUCUUCCGUGACAACACCACUGUUGAUUGCCUUUUCUUCCCCAUCACUGUCAUCAGAAGACUCUGUAAUGUCUUCUCCAAUUAAAAUGUUUUUACCUAAAUCAGGGAUUUCCUCAUCAUCUGGUUCAUUUUCAGAGUCAGAGAGAGUCAGCAUGGCAUGAUUGUCCUCCAGAAAGUAGUCCAUCACAACUUUUUCCCACUGACCUUUGUCGAUAGUGCCUGAUAAAUUUAGGGCAGCAGUGUUAUUGAGAGCAGUAGCAACAUAUUUGCAGUUCUUCAUGGAUAACAUUAUAUAUUUUGAAGACCGCAGUAGAAAGGAUUAUCUACACAUAACGAGCAGCUCAUUUUGUAGACACAAGAUGCUACAAUGCAGACCAAUCUGAAACUCAUCUCUUGGUAUGUCCAGCCCACUCAUUAUCUCAGCCAAUCACAGCUAGUGGGAAGGUUCCUGCUUUUUUCUUUGGCUAAACCAACUAGGCUCGUAAUAUAACAACUUUAUUUGUAUUAAUAGAUGGCAUAAACAUUUGUUAUUAAGGCACAUGAAAGUUCACAUGUUCGAGAAGGCAUUUCUGCCAAAAAUACUGUGGUAGCCAUGCUGGUUAAUUGUGCCUUGAAUACUAAAUAAAUCACCGACAGUGUCACCAGCAAAGCACCCCCACACCAUCACACCUCCUCCAUGCUUCACGGUGGGAACCACACAUGUGGAGAUCAUCUGUUCACCUACUCUGCAUCUCACAAAGACACGGCAGAUGGAACCAAAAAUCUUAAACUUGGACACAUCAGCCCAAAGGACAGAUUUUCACCGGUCUAAUGUCCUUUGCUCGCCCAAGCAAGUCUCUUCUUCUUAUUGGUGUUGUUUAGUAGUGGUUCCUUUGCAGCAAUUCGACCAUGAAGACCUGAUUCACGCAUUCUCCUCUGAAUAGUUGAUGUUGAGAUGUGACUGUUACUUGAACUCUGUGAAUAAUUUAUUUGGGCUGCAAUUUCUGAGGCUGGUACAGUGGUACUUCCUUUAAAAGUUGUGUCAUACUGCAGCGCACCUUGCGGGCUGCCGCAUAAUUCUAUGGCAUGUUAUUUAAGUGUCAGCCAUUGUUGCCAUUAAUGCUAGUUUGACCAGUUUGACCACCAGAGGGCAUAUUUGAGAUGCAUUUGAUAGUUUUUAAUAUUGUACGUACUAGAAAAUGUAAAACUUUUUUUGUAAGAACUUAGUAUAUAGGAUAGAUUUUUUUUUAAAUGUGCUUAAAAACUUAUUCGGGAUUGGUGUCCCUUCCACGGGAUGGUUGAGCUAAUGUAGGCUAAUGAGAUUAGCAUGAGGUUGUAAGUAACAAGAACAUUUCCCAGGACAUAGACAUAUCUGAUAAUGGCAGAAAGCUUAGAUUCUUGUUAGUCUAACUGCACUGUCCAAUUUACAGUAGCUAUUACAGCGAAAUAAUACCAUACUAUUGUUUGAGGAGAGUGCACAAUUUUGACCAUGAAAAGUUAUUAAUAAACAAAUUAGGUACAUUUGGGCAGUCUUGAUACAACAUUUUGAACAAAAAUGCAAUGGAUCAUUGGAUCAGUCUAAAACUUUGCACAUACACUGAUUUCAUUCAGUGGCCAAAAUCUAAAUUGCACCUGGGCUGGAAUAAUACAUUAUGUCCUUCCUCUUGCAUUUCAAAGAUGAUGGUCCAAAAAAAUACAAAAGAACAGUUUUUUUUUCUUUGUAUUAUCUUAUACCAAAUCUAUUGUGUUAUAUUCUACUACAUUCCUUUCACAUUUCCAUAAACCUCAAAGUGUUUCCUUUCAAAUGGUACCACAAAUAUGCAUAUCUUUGCUUCAUGGCCUUAGCUACAGGCAGUUAGAUUUGGGUAUGUAAUUCUAGGUGAAAAUUGGGAAAAAAAGGGGCUAAUCCUGAAUAGGUUAAUGAACAGCAUUCUCACAUAGAUGUUCCUCUUGUCCAGGUGGGAGAGGGCAAUGUGGAGUGCAAUAGAGUUUGCAUUAUCUGUGGAUCUCUUGGGGUGGUAUGCGAUGGCCAGGGUGUCUGGGAUGAUGGUGUUGAUGUGAGCUAUGCCCAGUCUUUCAAAGCAUUUCAUGGCUACAGGUAUGAGUGCUAUGGGGCGAUAGUCAUUUAGACAUGUUACCUUGGCGUUCUUCGGCACAGGGACUAAGGUGGUAUUACAGACUGGGUAAGGGAGAGGUCGAAAAUGUCAGAGAAGACACUUGCCAGCUGCUGGUAUGCAUCCUGGUAAUCCGUCUGGCCCUGCUGCCUUGUGAAUGUUAACCUGUUUAAAAUUCUUACUCACAUUGGCUAGGGAGAGAGUGAUCACAAAGUCGUCUGGAACAUCUGGUGCUCUUAUGCAUGGUUCAGUGUUGCUUGCCUUGAAGCGAGCAUAGAAGGCAUUUUGUUAGUCUGGUAGGCACAGGGCAGCUCUAUGCUGGGUUUCCCUUUAUCACUCCUCUCUACAAACUCUAGAGGUUACGGCCCUGUCCCGUGGGCCUGUUUGCUUGAUGGCCCUUCAACCUGUACUUGCUUGAUGGCCCUCCCACUAUCAACCUUUUUUACGGUUAUAUGGGUGUUCCCUUUCUUAAAACGCCAACAUUGUAUUUCCUUCGGUGGUGAAGCCAUGGCUGCACCCUUGGGUAUUUGUCUUUCUAAAAACAAAAACAAAAGUGGCCUAAUGGUGAACACUACCCUACUUUACAGAAUUAUUUACAUGUGGUUUGCAAAGCCAAGUACAACUCUAGAUUUCUUACAUUCACUUAUUAUUAGGUGUGCUUGCUGAAAGAAAAGAUAUCUAACUGUAACGUAAUAGGCCGGGAGUCGGGAAGCAGGAGCAGAAGAUGAGUUUACCUGCCUGGCUCUCUCGCACUCUGUGUCUGGCCCCUGGCCCUUCUGCAUGCACCUGGUAACCCGUGAGUAAAGAAGGAGGAUGGUGGAGGAAGACGCCUUCCGUCCACGGCAAAAACUUGGAUUCAGGGCAGACUUUCAAUAGAUCCCUGCAGUGCUAUGUACGAAACCCUGACCCAGAAACAGGUCGUCUACAAGUGAUUUAGCACCAGGUUCCCCACAAACAUCCGAUGCACAUCAGAGGGGUGGCAACUCAUCCGGCCACAUCCCAACACAAACCUUUAUUAAAUGUAACCUUUAUUAAAGCGACAUUGCUAUGAACGAUUGGCCACCACAAACCAGUUAUCCCUGUGGUAACUUUUCUGACACCUCCUGCUUAAAACCCAAAAAGUCAGAAGGAUCGUGAGGCCCCGCUUUCACGGUCUGUAUUCAUUCUGAAAAUCAAGAUCAAGUGAGCUUUUGGCCUUCUGCUCCACAGGAGGUUUCUGUCCUCCCUGAGCUCGCCUUAGGACACCUACUUUACCGUUUGACAGGUGUACCGCCCCAGUCAAACUCCCCACCUGCCACUGUCCCUUGACGCCAGAAGUGAGAGCAUCGGUGCCAGACGAGAGUGUCGUUAAGAAGGCAACCGCGGCUGGGGGAGCAGUUGCUUGGUCUUCCUCCUCUCACCCUCCUUGGACAUUCGUUGUGCGGCCCGUCUUGCGAGCUCUUAUGCGUG
rnacentral:lncRNA from 1 species